rnacentral:rRNA from 1 species
GGGUCAGUAGGUUGGUCGUGCCACCGGUACGUACUGGUCUCACUGAUUCCUCCUUCCUGAAGAACCGUAAUGCCAUUAAUGUGGUGUUGCGGGGAAACAGGACUGUUACUUUGAAAAAAUUAGAGUGUUUAAAGCAAGCUAACGCUUGAAUGCAUUAGCAUGGAAUAAUGAAAUAGGACGAUCGAUCCUAUUUUGUUGGUUUCUAGGAUUGACGUA